GACGAACGCUGGCGGCGUGCUUAACACAUGCGAGUCGAACGGAAAGGCCCUGCUUUUGUGGGGUGCUCGAGUGGAGAACGGGUGAGUAACACGUGAGUAACCUGCCCUUGACUUUGGGAUAACUUCAGGAAACUGGGGAUAAUACCGGAUAGGAGAUCCUGCUGCAUGGGGGGGGUUGGAAAGUUUCGGCGGUUGGGGAUGGACUCGCGGCUUGUCAGCUUGUUGGUGGGGGAGUGGCUUACCAAGGCUUUGACGGGUAGCCGGCCUGGGGGGGUGACCGGCCACAUUGGGACUGGGAUACGGCCCAGACUCCUACGGGAGGCAGCAGUGGGGAAUAUUGCACAAUGGGCGGAAGCCUGAUGCAGCAACGCCGCGUGCGGGAUGACGGCCUUCGGUUUGUAAACCGCUUUCGCCUGUGACGAAGCGUUAGUGACGGUAAUUGGUAAAGAAGCACCGGCUAACUACGUG
rnacentral:rRNA from 1 species